rnacentral:rRNA from 1 species
GACGAACGCUGGCGGCGUGCCUAAUACAUGCAAGUAGAACGCACAGUUUAUACCGUAGCUUGCUGCACCAUAGACUGUGAGUUGCGAACGGGUGAGUAACGCGUAGGUAACCUGCCUGGUAGCGGGGGAUAACUAUUGGAAACGAUAGCUAAUACCGCAUAAUAUUGAUUAUUGCAUGAUAGUUGAUUGAAAGAUGCUAUUGCAUCACUACCAGAUGGACCUGCGUUGUAUUAGCUAGUAGGUGAGGUAACGGCUCACCUAGGCGACGAUACAUAGCCGACCUGAGAGGGUGAUCGGCCACACUGGGACUGAGACACGGCCCAGACUCCUACGGGAGGCAGCAGUAGGGAAUCUUCGGCAAUGGACGAAAGUCUGACCGAGCAACGCCGCGUGAGUGAAGAAGGUUUUCGGAUCGUAAAGCUCUGUUGUAAGAGAAGAACGGGUGUGAGAGUGGAAAGUUCACACUGUGACGGUAUCUUACCAGAAAGGGACGGCUAACUACGUG